rnacentral:misc_RNA from 1 species
GAUGAAGAACGCAGCGAAAUGCGAUAAGUAGUGUGAAUUGCAGAAUUCAGUGAAUCAUCGAAUCUUUGAACGCACAUUGCGCCCAUUAGUAUUCUAGUGGGCAUGCCUGUUCGAGCGUCAUUAAGUCCACUUAAGCCUAGCUUAGUGUUGGGAGACUGCUCCAGUGGUGCUACCCUGUAGCUACCCUGCAGCUCCUUAAAGACAGCGGCGGAGUCGUGUUAUCCUCUGAGCUUAGUAAAUCAUUCUAGCUUUCGAGAGUAUCACUUCACCUGCCGUUAAACCACCUAAUUUUUAUGGUUGACCUCGGAUCAGGUAGGAAUACCCGCUGAACUUAAGCAUAUCAAUAAGCGGAGGA